rnacentral:rRNA from 1 species
GGGGCAUUCCACGUUCUCCGCGCCGUAGCUAACGCAUUAAGUGCCCCGCCUGGGGAGUACGGUCGCAAGGCUAAAACUCAAAGGAAUUGACGGGGGCCCGCACAAGCGGCGGAGCAUGCGGAUUAAUUCGAUGCAACGCGAAGAACCUUACCAAGGCUUGACAUACACCGGACCGUCCUGGAAACAGGUCUUCUUCUUUGAAGCUGGUGUACAGGUGGUGCAUGGUUGUCGUCAGCUCGUGUCGUGAGAUGUUGGGUUAAGUCCCGCAACGAGCGCAACCCUCGUUCUAUGUUGCCAGCAUGUGAUGGUGGGAACUCAUAGGAGACUGCCGGGGUCAACUCGGAGGAAGGUGGGGAUGACGUCAAAUCAUCAUGCCCUUUAUGUCUUGGGCUUCACGCAUGCUACAAUGGCUGGUACAGAGAGAGGCGAACCCGUGAGGGCAAGCGAAUCCCUUAAAGCCAGUCUCAGUUCGGAUCGUAGUCUGCAAU